CCCUGAGGCGAUAGCACAUUGAACGCAAUAGCUCCCAAGAGUGCACUGAAGUUAAGCAACGGGGACCUUGGUUGGUACUCGGAUGGGUGACCAUGUGGACAAACGAGUGCUGAUGUAA
rfam:Asian citrus Psyllid, Diaphorina citri - Florida Strain, whole genome shotgun sequence.